CUUGACUCUUUUCAAAGAUAGUUUAAAAAGAAAAACUAAGUAUGAACACUUAUGCUAAGUUUGGCCCAUUCAUAUUUGAAAAACAUGUUGCAUACUUACAGGUAGACUUGCCAUCGGAUCAACAUUUAUUGGUGGUAGCCAGGUUGGACAGACGUACAGGUCUACAGUGUAGACAUCCUUUCCCUGAUCAAACAGCACAGUACACAUUUUCAAUAAAGAAAGUUAAUAAAAAAAUAAAAGAAAA